AUUGAACGCUGGCGGCAGGCCUAACACAUGCAAGUCGAACGAGUGGCGGACGGGUGAGUAAUGUCUGGGAAACUGCCUGGUGGAGGGGGAUAACUACUGGAAACGGUAGCUAAUACCGCAUACCAUCGGAUGUGCCCACAUGGGAUUAGCUAGUAGGUGGGGUAAAGGCUCACCUAGGCGACGUUCCCUAGCUGGUCUGAGAGGAUGACCAGCGACACUGUAACGGAGACACGGUCCAGACUCCGACGAGAGGCAGCAUUGUGGAAUAUUGCACAAUGGGCGCAAGCCUGAGGCAGCCAUGCCGCGUGUAUGAAGAAGGCCUUCGGGUUGUAAAGUACUUUCAGCGGGGAGGCGUUACCCGCAGAAGAAGCACCGGCUAACUCCGUGCCAGCAGCCGCGGUAAUAC
rnacentral:rRNA from 1 species